rnacentral:rRNA from 1 species
AAUCAACGCUGGCGGCGUGCCUCAGACAUGCAAGUCGAACGCGAAAGUCCCCCUCGGGGGACAAGUAGAGUGGCGCACGGGUGAGUAACACGUAGGUAAUCUACCUUCGGGUGGGGAAUAACAAUCGGAAACGGUUGCUAAUACCGCAUAAUGCAGCGGCACCUAAUGGUGACAGUUGUUAAAGCGGGGGAGUCGCAAGAUCUCGCGCCUGAAGAGGAGCCUGCGGCGGAUUAGCUAGUUGGUAGGGUAAUGGCCUACCAAGGCGACGAUCCGUAGCCGGCCUGAGAGGGCGGU